CCURACCUAGCGGCGGACGGGUGAGUAAUGCUUAGGAAUCUGCCUAUUAGUGGGGGACAACAUCUCGAAAGGGAUGCUAAUACCGCAUACGUCCUAYGGGAGAAAGCAGGGGACCUUCGGGCCUUGCGCUAAUAGAUGAGCCUAAGUCGGAUUAGCUAGUUGGUGGGGUAAAGGCCUACCAAGGCGACGAUCUGUAGCGGGUCUGAGAGGAUGAUCCGCCACACCUGGGACUGAGACACGGCCCAGACGUCCUACGGGAGGGCAGCAGUGGGGAAUAUUGGACAAUGGGCGGAAGCCUGAUCCAGCCAUGCCCGCGUGUGUGAAGAAGGCCUUUUGGUUGUAAAGCACUAUUAAGCGAGGAGGGAGGCUACUGGUAUUAAUACUACCGGGAUAGUGGACGUUACUCGCAGAAUAAGCAACCGGCUUAACUCUGUGCCCAGCAGCCGACGGUAAAUACAGAGGGUGCGAGCGUUAAUCCGAAUUUAACUGGGCGUAAAGGCGUGCGUAGGCGGCUUUUUAAGUCGGAAUGUGAAAUCCCUGAGCUUAACUUAAGGAAUUUGCAUUCGAUACUGGGAGGCUAGAGUAUGGGAGAGGAUGGUAGAAUUCCAGGUGUAGCGGUGAAAUGCGUAGAGAUCUGGAGGAAUACCGAUGGCGAAGGCAGCCAUCUGGCCUAAUACUGACGCUGAGGUACGAAAGCAUGGGGAGCAAACAGGAUUAGAUACCCUGGUAGUCCAUGCCGUAAACGAUGUCUACUAGCCGUUGGGGCCUUUGAGGCUUUAGUGGCGCAGCUAACGCGAUAAGUAGACCGCCUGGGGAGUACGGUCGCAAGACUAAAACUCAAAUGAAUUGACGGGGGCCCGCACAAGCGGUGGAGCAUGUGGUUUAAUUCGAUGCAACGCGAAGAACCUUACCUGGUCUUGACAUACAGAGAACUUUCCAGAGAUGGAUUGGUGCCUUCGGGAACUCUGAUACAGGUGCUGCAUGGCUGUCGUCAGCUCGUGUCGUGAGAUGUUGGGUUAAGUCCCGCAACGAGCGCAACCCUUUUCCUUACUUGCCAUCGGGUCAUGCCGGGAACUUUAAGGAUACUGCCAGUGACAAACUGGAGGAAGGCGGGGACGACGUCAAGUCAUCAUGGCCCUUACGACCAGGGCUACACACGUGCUACAAUGGUCGGUACAAAGGGUUGCUACCUAGCGAUAGGAUGCUAAUCUCAAAAAGCCGAUCGUAGUCCGGAUUGGAGUCUGCAACUCGACUCCAUGAAGUCGGAAUCGCUAGUAAUCGCGGAUCAGAAUGC
rnacentral:rRNA from 1 species